GUUGCAGGGUAUAGACCCGAAACCCGGUGAUCUAGCCAUGGGCAGGUUGAAGGUUGGGUAACACUAACUGGAGGACCGAACCGACUAAUGUUGAAAAAUUAGCGGAUGACCUGUGGCUGGGGGUGAAAGGCCAAUCAAACCGGGAGAUAGCUGGUUCUCCCCGAAAGCUAUUUAGGUAGCGCCUCGUGAAUUCAUCUCCGGGGGUAGAGCACUGUUUCGGCUAGGGGGCCAUCCCGGCUUACCAACCCGAUGCAAACUGCGAAUACCGGAGAAUGUUAUCACGGGAGACACACGGCGGGUGCUAACGUCCGUCGUGAAGAGGGAAACAACCCAGACCGCCAGCUAAGGUCCCAAAGUCAUGGUUAAGUGGGAAACGAUGUGGGAAGGCCCAGACAGCCAGGAUGUUGGCUUAGAAGCAGCCAUCAUUUAAAGAAAGCGUAAUAGCUCACUGGUCGAGUCGGCCUGCGCGGAAGAUGUAACGGGGCUAAACCAUGCACCGAAGCUGCGGCAGCGACACUGUGUGUUGUUGGGUAGGGGAGCGUUCUGUAAGCCUGCGAAGGUGGCCUGUGAGGGUUGCUGGAGGUAUCAGAAGUGCGAAUGCUGACAUAAGUAACGAUAAAGCGGGUGAAAAGCCCGCUCGCCGGAAGACCAAGGGUUCCUGUCCAACGUUAAUCGGGGCAGGGUGAGUCGACCCCUAAGGCGAGGCCGAAAGGCGUAGUCGAUGGGAAACGGGUUAAUAUUCCCGUACUUGGUGUUACUGCGAAGGGGGGACGGAGAAGGCUAUGUUGGCCGGGCGACGGUUGUCCCGGUUUAAGCGUGUAGGUGUGUGUUCCAGGUAAAUCCGGUUCACUUUAACACUGAGGCGUGACGACGAGGCACUACGGUGCUGAAGCAACAAAUGCCCUGCUUCCAGGAAAAGCCUCUAAGCAUCAGGUAACAUCAAAUCGUACCCCAAACCGACACAGGUGGUCAGGUAGAGAAUACCAAGGCGCUUGAGAGAACUCGGGUGAAGGAACUAGGCAAAAUGGUGCCGUAACUUCGGGAGAAGGCACGCUGACACGUAGGUGAAGUGAUUUACUCAUGGAGCUGAAGUCAGUCGAAGAUACCAGCUGGCUGCAACUGUUUAUUAAAAACACAGCACUGUGCAAACACGAAAGUGGACGUAUACGGUGUGACGCCUGCCCGGUGCCGGAAGGUUAAUUGAUGGGGUCAGCGCAAGCGAAGCUCCUGAUCGAAGCCCCGGUAAACGGCGGCCGUAACUAUAACGGUCCUAAGGUAGCGAAAUUCCUUGUCGGGUAAGUUCCGACCUGCACGAAUGGCGUAAUGAUGGCCAGGCUGUCUCCACCCGAGACUCAGUGAAAUUGAACUCGCUGUGAAGAUGCAGUGUACCCGCGGCAAGACGGAAAGACCCCGUGAACCUUUACUAUAGCUUGACACUGAACAUUGAGCCUUGAUGUGUAGGAUAGGUGGGAGGCUUUGAAGUGUGGACGCCAGUCUGCAUGGAGCCGACCUUGAAAUACCACCCUUUAAUGUUUGAUGUUCUAACGUGGACCCGUUACCCGGGUUGCGGACAGUGUCUGGUGGGUAGUUUGACUGGGGCGGUCUCCUCCUAAAGAGUAACGGAGGAGCACGAAGGUUGGCUAAUCCUGGUCGGACAUCAGGAGGUUAGUGCAAUGGCAUAAGCCAGCUUGACUGCGAGCGUGACGGCGCGAGCAGGUGCGAAAGCAGGUCAUAGUGAUCCGGUGGUUCUGAAUGGAAGGGCCAUCGCUCAACGGAUAAAAGGUACUCCGGGGAUAACAGGCUGAUACCGCCCAAGAGUUCAUAUCGACGGCGGUGUUUGGCACCUCGAUGUCGGCUCAUCACAUCCUGGGGCUGAAGUAGGUCCCAAGGGUAUGGCUGUUCGCCAUUUAAAGUGGUACGCGAGCUGGGUUUAGAACGUCGUGAGACAGUUCGGUCCCUAUCUGCCGUGGGCGCUGGAGAACUGAGGGGGGCUGCUCCUAGUACGAGAGGACCGGAGUGGACGCAUCACUGGUGUUCGGGUUGUCAUGCCAAUGGCACUGCCCGGUAGCUAAAUGCGGAAGAGAUAAGUGCUGAAAGCAUCUAAGCACGAAACUUGCCCCGA
rnacentral:rRNA from 1 species